UACGUAGGGGGCAAGCGUUGUCCGAAGUUACUGGGCGUAAAGCGCGUGUAGGCGGGUUGCCAAGUCCGCUGUGAAAGCCCGAGGCUCAACCUCGGAGGGUCGGUGGAUACUGGCAGUCUUGAAGUUGCUAGGGGGAGAUGGAAUUUACGGUGUAGCGGUGAAAUGCGUAGAUAUCGUAAGGAAGACCAGUGGCGAAGGCGGGUCUCUGGACAGUUCCUGACGCUGAGGCACGAAGGCCGGGGGAGCAAACGGG
rnacentral:rRNA from 1 species